CCUACGAGUGGCAGCAGUGAGGAAUAUUGGUCAAUGGGCGCGAGCCUGAACCAGCCAAGUAGCGUGAAGGAUGACUGCCCUACGGGUUGUAAACUUCUUUUAUAAAGGAAUAAAGUGAGGCACGUGUGCCUUUUUGUGUGUACUUUAUGAAUAAGGAUCGGCUAACUCCGUGCCAGCAGCCGCGGUAAUACGGAGGAUCCGAGCGUUAUCCGGAUUUAUUGGGUUUAAAGGGAGCGUAGAUGGGUUGUUAAGUCAGUUGUGAAAGUUUGCGGCUCAACCGUAAAAUUGCAAUUGAUACUGGCAGUCUUGAGUGCAGUUGAGGUAGGCGGAAUUCGUGGUGUAGCGGUGAAAUGCUUAGAUAUCACGAAGAACUCCGAUUGCGAAGGCAGCUUACUAAACUGCAACUGACAUUGAUGCUCGAAAGUGUGGGUAUCAAACAGGAUUAGAUACCCGAGUAGUC
rnacentral:rRNA from 1 species